AGAACGAACGCUGGCGGCAUGCCUAAUACAUGCAAGUCGAACGAACACUUCGGUGUUAGUGGCGCACGGGUGCGUAACGCGUGGGAAUCUGCCCUUGGGUUCGGAAUAACAGUUGGAAACGACUGCUAAUACCGGAUGAUGACGAAAGUCCAAAGAUUUAUCGCCCAGGGAUGAGCCCGCGUAGGAUUAGCUAGUUGGUGAGGUAAAGGCUCACCAAGGCGACGAUCCUUAGCUGGUCUGAGAGGAUGAUCAGCCACACUGGGACUGAGACACGGCCCAGACUCCUACGGGAGGCAGCAGUAGGGAAUAUUGGACAAUGGGCGCAAGCCUGAUCCAGCAAUGCCGCGUGAGUGAUGAAGGCCGUUAGGGUUGUAAAGCUCUUUUACCCGAGAUGAUAAUGACAGUAGUCGGGAGAAUAACGCCCCCGGACUAACCUCCGUGCCAGCACGCCGAC
rnacentral:rRNA from 1 species